UACGGGGGGGGCAAGCGUUGUUCGGAAUUACUGGGCGUAAAGGGCUCGUAGGUGGCCAACUAAGUCAGACGUGAAAUCCCUCAGCUUAACUGGGGAACUGCGUCUGAUACUGGAUGGCUUGAGUUUGGGAGAGGAAUGCGGAAUUCCAGGUGUAGCGGUGAAAUGCGUAGAUAUCAAGAGGAACACCUGCGGCGAAGGCGGGUUGCUGGCCGACACUGACGCUGAGGCGCGAAAGCUAGGGGAGCAAACGGG
rnacentral:rRNA from 1 species